rnacentral:lncRNA from 1 species
GCUCGCGGAAACUCGGUUGCUAUGCGACGGGGGCGGUUGACCAAAGUAGGCCCCGCGGUUUAGAGGAGCAGCCAAAUUUAUUACGGAGCUGGGCGUGGCCUCGGUUGCUUCGCAGCGGGGACGCUUAGGCAGGGCUUGAGCCCAGUUUCUAGACCAAUGCUCCCGGAAUUUUGCAUGGCACCCAAGAAAGAGAAAAGCGGGGUUGCGAGCAGCAGUUCUGAGAUAUGGGAACCUUCGCUCAUAGCUGCACACUUGAAUCAGGUGUAAGAGACCAGAGCAAAGAAGGGCUGGCCAUCAUCUACAGGGCUGCCACAAAUGCCCUGAGCAACCCACUUGCCAUAAGACUUCAAAUACCUGGGAUCCCAGAACUGACUAGCUCCUGCCCACCUUCAGCAAGUGCAGGGCACAGCCCGUCUUGUUGCUUGCACGUGGAAGUCCACUUCUAUACUGUGCUGUUUCUAAGUCAAGUAGACAUUUGGGAAGAGCAAAUUACAGUCUGCCAUUAUGAACUACUUUUACAAAUGGAAAACUUUUUUCAUUUUAUAUAUGUGCACUGGAGAGUGUGCAUAAAGGAAAUGGAUCUGAAGUCUUGCGUCAUCCUCAUGAGAACAUUUUUACCUUUUUAUUCUUAUUUUCCAUUAUAAUUCUUUUUUCUCUAUGGAUGGCAAUUUUCUCUGCUACAGAAACUGAUCCUGAUGAAGAAUUUCAUGAACAUACUUAUGAUACUACUGACAUUAAUGUGACAUGGAAUGUUGGAUCAUUCCUAUAACUUUAAAAAUGAAGGAUGUCAACCCAGUAAUCCUCAGUUACAUUCUCAAAUUCUCAAAGAUGUUUUUUUCAAAGCACUUUGUAAAAGCACUCUCUCUUUUGCUUUUCUAAGACAGAACUAGCCAACAUAAUUUUUUCUCCAUUUUCUUUGAGACUAUGUAGGCCAAGUUGGGCUUUGAGUGAACAUUUCUGCUUGAAUUAUAAACUGCUGAACAACAGAGUCUGAUGGAGGUGCUGACACUGCAUUAGCUUUAGUGUUGCAAAUAUGAAACUAUAAUUUUCCUGGUCGAGUGGAAAACCUAAAGGCACUAUUUUUUCUUAUGGCUUGAAAACCUGAAAUAAUAUUCAGCUGUCUUGAUCCUACUCAAACAAUAUAAUUUCAAUAAAUCUUCUGUACUCACAGAAAGAAUUUGAACUAAAGUAAUAUGUACUUUUAACUACAAAGAGUAAUCUCAAUUUUCUUCAGUUUGUUGCAAUACAUAUUUUCAUCUUGCAAGAAGACAACUGCCAUCUGUCUCCUCCCAUAUUUUUUCCUCAGCUUGGUUUUGUAUCUGAUUCAAAAGGCAAAUUCCCAGAUUAACCCCAUAGGUGCAAUGCUCAAAGGCAUACCCUAAGCAGCAGUUUAACCAACUCAGAAUUCACCUUAAGUAAGACUAUGGAUGUCUGAAUUCAUUAUUUGUAGAAUUUAGCAAAAUGCUCUGCACAUAAUGUGUGGUCAGAAAAUGUUAUUGUUUAGUUCCUAGAGAGUUUCUUUUCAUACAGGUGUUACUCCUACACUGAGUAAGUGUGCUUGAGUAUGCAGUAGGUGUUGUAUGUAUUGUGUGUGUUAGAUGUAAGAAAGAAGGAAGUAAUUCCUCCAGUCUUCCAUAAGCCAGUUUUUAGGAUUAAUUCAUUGAAGAAUACAAAUGAAUGGUAGAUUUAAAUUCAUACUCAUACUCAGCUAUACUAGACUUUAAAAAGACUAAACAUGCUCACUAUUUGGACUGUCUUUUGAGCUAGAGUAUUUAAUUUUAAUACAAUUUAUUUGGUUUUUAAACAUAAAAUAAUAGCAAAUAAUACAAAGUAACCUGUUAAUAAGAACUAAAUGAUUAGAUAGAGAUUAGAGGUUAGGAAAAUAAAUACCAACUGGUAUAGUCAGAAAAUGCUUUGUAAAAUUUUAUGUUUAGCUGAGCCCUAAAAAUGGGCAGAACUUGAAAAGGAAAAAUAAAGGAGGAAAAUUUUUUAGGUAAGGACACCAAUAUGUUCCUCAAAUAAGUCUGGGAUAUUUAGAUUGAAUGAAAGGAGUGGGUUAGAUAUAAAUUGCUCCUAAAUUAAUUCUAUCAAUUAAUACUCAUUUACUGUCUUUGCUAUUUUCAUAUACCAAAACACUUAGCUUAUUAAAAUAUGUGAAACAUUGUCCCUCAAGUUAGAUUUAAAAAUAAUAUAUUUAGGUAUACAGCAAUAAGAUUGUAAAACUAGAUGUUAAUAUAUGUAUGUAUGUGAUACAGACAUUGUAUUUAUGAUCUCAAGCAGCAUUAGAAAGUCAAAGGUGUUUUGAUAUAGUAGUCCCUCUUUAAUUGUUUCACUUUCUGUAAUUUCAGUUACCCUCAGUCAGCCAGCCACAGUCUGAAAAUAUUAAAUAGAAAAUUCCAGAACUAAAACCUAAAAAUUUAAAAUAAAAAUAUAUAGCUUAAAAUUUAAGUGGCAUUGAUGUUAUGAGCAGUGUGAUAAAAUCAUGCAUCAACCUGCUCCAUCACACCUGAAAGAUAAACAUCUGUUUGUCUAGCACAUCUGUGUUGCGUAUGCUACUUUUCCGUUAGCCACUUAGUAGCCACUUCAGUCAUCCAAAUCAGACUAGUGUUGUAUCGCAGUUCUGGUGCAGUGCAUAUAAUGUUCAAUUCCUCCACAUUUUGCUAUUAUUCUACUUAAUAGCCCCAACGCGCGUUUGUAGUGAUUCUGGUAACUCAGAUAUGUCCAAGAGACGCUGAAAGUUGCUUCCUUUAAGUGAAAAAGUGAAAGUUCUUGACUUAAUAAGGAAAGGAAAACAAUCAUACACUGAGGUUGGAAAGAUCUACUUUAAGAAUGAAUAUUUUAUGUAAUUGUGAAAAAGGAAAAAGAAUUUUGCAUUAGUUUCAGUAUCUCAUUACCAGCUGCAAAAGUUAUGAUCACAGUGCAUGGUGAGUGCCUAGUUAAGAUGAAAAAGGCAUGAAAUUAUAGGACUCAGUCCUAUCCACAGUUCUGGGCAUCUGCUGUGGUCUUGGAAUACAUCUUUGCAUGCAGUUGUAGGGUAGACUCUACUGGCCACAGAGAGAGGAAUAGGUGUUACCCUAUGUUCUCAGCACUCACUAAACAAUAGCAACCUCGUGUUCCUUCUUCUCUCCCACUGUCUUACUCCGCUCUCUGAUGCUAUGACAAAACAUCUGAGACCAGGUGGCUUACAAAGACCUGAAAUGUUAUUUCUUAUAGAUCUGAAUGUUGCUAAGUGCAAGAACAUGGUGCUGUUAUCUGUCAAGUAUUUUCUGGCUGUGUCAUAACAUGGUGGAGUGCACCACCGAGCAAGGAAACACAUGACAGACAGAAAAAAUCUAGCUGAACUCCUUUUAUCAGGAGCCUGUUCCCAUAAUAAUUAACCCACUGCUCCAUCCAUUCAUAAGGGUGGUGUGUUUGUGACCUGAUCACCUCUGAAGGGUAAUUAAAUUUCAACAGGAGUUUUGGAGGGAGGCAUGCAAAUCAUAGCACCAGCCACUGUACUGCAUUCUAUGCAUUUGACUAGUGAAGGUACUUUAUGUAAGUGUAAUCAUAUAUAUUUGCCUUUUUUGUGAUGAGUUUAUUUCACUUAACAUGGUGUCCUCAAAAUGCAUUCAUUCUGUAGUAUGUGUUGGAAUUUCCUUGUUUCUCAAGGCUGAAUAAUUUUCCAUUAUGUGAGUAUACCACAUUUUAUUUGACCAUUUGACUAUCCGUUGAUAGACACUGGCUCCCUCUUGGGCUAUUAUAAAUACUGCUAUUAUUGACACGGUUGUACAAAAAUCUGUCGUAGCUCCUGUUUUCAGUUCUAGGGGGUAUACUUGCAGAAGUGGACUGGAUGGAUUAUAUGUUAAUUCUACAUUUAAGUAUUUGAGGAGGCACAAUGACUAAAUUUUGAUUUUCCACCAGCAAUUCAUAAAGGUUUGAAUUUCUCCACACUGUUUUCACAACUUUUGUUGUUUUGCUACUUUCUUUUUUUGAUGGACUUUUGGUUUUUGUCUUUUAAACAAUCAUACUAGUAUCUGUGAGAUGAUGUUUCCUGUUUUGAUUUUUACUUUCCUAAUGAUUAGUGAUAUUGAGCAUAUUUGCAAGUCCUUCUUAGCAGUCAUUUGUUUAUCUUCUUUCGCUUUUGCUCAUUUUAAAAUUGAUUCAUUUGGUUAUUAUAUUAUUGAAUUGUAAAUAUUUGUGUGUCUUCAAUAUUAAACAGUAUCAGAUAUAUAAUGCACACAUACUUUCUACUAUUCUAAAGGUUACUUUUCACUUCAUUGGCAAUCUCUUUUAAUAUACAUUUUUAAUUUUAGAAGCCCAGUUUACCUUUUUUUUUAUUCCUUAUGUUCUUGGUAUUAUAUCCAAGAAGUCAUUACCAAACCCAAUAUUCUCUGUUUUUAAGAGUGCUGUUUUUUCUGUUAUGCCUAAGUCUCUGAUCCAUUUUGAGUAAUUUUUUUAAUUUGUUGUGAGAUUUAGGUCUCUCUUCAAUCUUCCCUGUUUUCCCCAGCAUCAUUUUCAAAGGCUGUUCUUUCUGUAUUGAACUGUCUUGGCAUCCUUGUCAAAACUCUUUGACCCUACAGUGUAAGGAAGUGUCUACUUCUAGGCUCUUUAUUCUGCAUAUGAUGCUAGUUUUAGGUCUUUUAAACAUGGCAGUUAUUAUGUUGAAAUUGUUUUCUUUUAUUCCUAGUUUGUUGAGAAUUAUUUGAAAGGAUGUUGGAUUUUCUCCAAAUAAGUUUUUUUUUUUUUUUUGAUCAAUUGAAAUGACCAUGUGGGAUUUUUUCCUUUAUUAUGUUAAUGUAGUGUAUCAUACUGAUUUUUUAAAUUUUUAAUUUCUAUUUCCUCUCCUCCAGCUUUAUUUAGGUAUAACUGACAAAUUAAACUUACAUAUGUUUAAAUUGGUUUUCAUGUUGAACUAGCCUUGCAUUUCAGGAAUAAAUUCCACUUGGUCAUGUUGUAUUUACCUUUCAAUACACUGUUGAAUACAUUAGUAUUUUGUUGCAUCAUAUGGGAUAUGGUUCUGUAGUUUUCUUGUAGUAUGUUGUCUGGCUUUGGAAUCUGUCUCUCAGGAUGACUUUGGAAGUACUCCCUCUUCGAUUUUUGGAAGAUUUUGAGGAGAAUUAUUAAUUCUUUUAAAAAUAUUUGGUAGAUUACACCAGUGAAGCCAUCUGGUCCUCAGCAUUUCUUUGUCAGAAGAUUUUUGGUAAUUGAUUUAAUCUCCUUUGUAGAUCCAUUCCAAUUUUCUGUUUCUUCAUGAUUCAGUCAUGGUAUGCUGUGUAUCUCAAGAAAGCUGUCUAGUGUUCACUUCAGCAGCACAUAUACUAAAAUUGGAAGACAUUUGUCUAACUCAUCUGGGUUAGCCAAUUUGUUGGUAUGAAAUUAUUUGCAAUAUUCUUACAAUCUUGUUUAUUUUUGUAAAAUUAGUAGUAAAGUCCCUUUUUGCAGCUGAUUUUC